rnacentral:lncRNA from 1 species
CAUGUUUAUCUAUAUGCAUAUGUGUAUGUUGCAUGGCCUGGAGAGCUAGCUAUAUGUACGUGGGUGCUGCAUGGCUUAAGAGGAAGGGGAGGUGGGGCCGGCUUGGCAGUGGUUGAGGAGGUCUUCUUCCUCCUCCACGCGCUGCUCUACCCCAGUCCCAGGCAGCGAUGUGCCGCGGCGGCGAGGCUCGGCUCGGCAGCCGGCGACCGGGGAGGCGGCGGCGACUUCCGGCGGAGCUCCGGCGAGGCACCGCCAGCGACGGCGGCGCUAGAAGGCGCGGCACAGCAGCUAUAG